rnacentral:snRNA from 1 species
AGCUUUGUGCAGUGGCAGUAUCAUAGUUCAUGAGGUUAAACUGAGACGUGAUUAUAGCUAAUUGAAAACUUUUCCCAAUGCCCUGCUGCACUGAUUUGAAAAAAAAAUAA